rnacentral:tRNA from 1 species
ACCUGGGUGGCUCAGUAGGUUAAGCUUCUGACUUCAGCUCAGGUCAUGAUCACAUGGUUUGUGGGUUCGAGCCCCGCAUCAGGCU